rnacentral:rRNA from 1 species
UACAGAGGGGGCAAGCGUUAUUCGGAAUUAUUGGGCGUAAAGGGCGCGUAGGCGGCUUGGCAAGUGGAUGGUGAAAUCCCUCGGCUUAACCGAGGAACUGCCGUCCAAACUGCUUAGCUUGAGACCGGGAGAGGUGAGUGGAAUUCCCAGUGUAGCGGUGAAAUGCGUAGAGAUCAUGAGGAAGACCAGUGGCGAAGGCGGGUCUCUGGACAGUUCCUGACACUGAGACACGAAGGCCAGGGGAACAAACGGG